GCCCUACGGGACGCAGCAGUGGGGAAUAUUGCACAAUGGGGGGAACCCUGAUGCAGCGACGCCGCGUGGGUGAAGGAGUAUUUCGGUAUGUAAAGCCCUAUCAGCAGGGGAGAACAAUGACGGUACCUGACUAAGAAGCCCCGGCUAACUACGUGCCAGCAGCCGCGGUAAUACGUAGGGGGCGAGCGUUAUCCGGAUUCACUGGGUGUAAAGGGAGCGUAGACGGCCAUGCAAGCCAGGGGUGAAAGCCCGGGGCCCAACCCCGGGACUGCCCUUGGAACUGUGCGGCUAGAGUGCGGGAGGGG
rnacentral:rRNA from 1 species